UUUCGGGAACCGCCAUCACACCGUUCACUUUCUUACCAGCAUUAGGCUCUAUUUCAGGAAUCUGUACAGAUAUCAAGUGGACCAUUAGAAACUUAUAACAAUUCUUUUGUGUUCUGAUGUAUCCUAGGUAAAUUAUAAAGCUCAAAAUC